GCAAGGGUGUGGAUGGGUCAGAGCUGGAAGCAGAAACUGACCUCACCGAAGGCCAGGAGGAACCCAGACUUGGAUGUUUAAUAUACUGUGUGUAUUCAGGAAGUCACAGGCCGCACUGACUCUGAGAAUGAAAGCAAGAGGGAAAAACCCUCAAGAGUAUAAGAACCCCUAAAAUACAUCUGUUCCAAAGUAUACCUUCAACCCAUUACAGUCAAAAUGUUAAAUUCUCUUAAAUUUUGGGGGGCUUGUCCUUUUGUUGCUUGCUCUUUGUAUUUGUCACUUUUAGUCAACAAAAUUUUAUUGGGUAAGGAGGGGAUUUACUACACUUUCUGCAGCACAUCAAAAAACUAGAGCUGGUGGUGUUUAACUUAAAAAAAAUGUUAUUGUGAUCUAUAAGAGUAGAUAUCAACCUUUCAUGAAAAGAGCGCCACCUUGCAAGGUUUGGUGAGAUUUAAGGAAGUCGGAACACCUAAGCAGGAAUUGCUGCUGGUUCUGAAAUUUUGUGAGAGUAGAAGCUGCCUCCCAAUGGCUUUGGAGGUAUAAAACUAACAGCAUAGUAUUUGAAGUGACUCCAGACAUUAGGCCCAAUAAUUAAUAAACCUAGAAAGAAGAAUAAAAAUAGCUCAACUUUCUAGGAAGGAAAAGUAAGCACCUCAAAAAAUAAUACUUUCCUUUAGAGAUCAGAAUUUCUGGGAGACUGAUAUAAUAUUCAUAAUAAUAACAGUACCUUUGUAACUUUGUUAGGAUGUUAACAUUUAGGAAGAUAGUCAAUGAGUGCAUUUUUUGACUAUUCCUGAAAGCAGUUUACCUCAAAAUUUCAAAUAUAAAUGUCUCAUGAUUUGUUAUAUAUCUGAUACUCUUUUAAACUUUAAUAAAAGUAUAAUAAUGAAAUAUCAUACUGUGAUAUAUGAGUUAAAUA
rnacentral:lncRNA from 1 species